UACAGAGGUCCCAAGCGUUGUUCGGAUUCACUGGGCGUAAAGGGUGCGUAGGUGGUCAGGUAAGUCUGAUGUGAAAGCUCUGGGCUCAACCCAGAAAUGGCAUUGGAUACUAUCUGGCUAGAGGAAUGGAGGGGGACUGGAAUACUUGGUGUAGCAGUGAAAUGCGUAGAUAUCAAGUGGAACACCAGUGGCGAAGGCGAGUCCCUGGACAUUUCCUGACACUGGGGCACGAAAGCUAGGGGAGCAAACAGG
rnacentral:rRNA from 1 species